CUGAAGCGGAUACCCUGGGGGUCGCUCUCCCAGUCUCUGUCGGGGUGGCGGCGGGGAGCGCAGGGCUUUGCCCAGUGACAUACAGACUACUUGCACAACGUCUGUGAUGAAGCCAGGCCCCCGAGUAGGCGCCUGCAUAUUCCUACAGCUUCUCAGAGUCCCACAGACUGUAACUGAGAAGACAAACCAUGCAGGAAACAGUU
rfam:Erinaceus europaeus unplaced genomic scaffold scaffold00437, whole genome shotgun sequence